rnacentral:rRNA from 1 species
CCUACGGGCGGCAGCAGUGAGGAAUAUUGGUCAAUGGACGCAAGUCUGAACCAGCCAUGCCGCGUGCAGGAAGAAGGUGCCAAGAGUUGUAAACUGCUUUUGUCCGAGGGCAAACGCAGACACGCGUAUCUGUCCGAAAGUACUGUACGAAUAAGCAUCGGCUAACUCCGUGCCAGCAGCCGCGGUAAUACGGAGGAUUCAAGCGUUAUCCGGAUUUAUUGGGUUUAAAGGGUGCGUAGGCGGGCGGAUAAGUUAGUUGUGAAAGUCUGAGGCUCAACUUUGGAAUUGCAUUUGAUACUGGUAGUCUAGAGAAUAGUUGAGGUAGGCGGAAUGCAUGGUGUAGCGGUGAAAUGCUUAGAGAUCACACAGAACCCCGAUUGCGAAGGCAGCUUACCAAGCUACUUCUGACAUUGAUGCACGAAAGCGUGGGGAGCAAACAGGAUUAGAUACCCCUGUAGUC